CCUACGGGAGGCAGCAGUGAGGAAUAUUGGUCAAUGGACGGAAGUCUGAACCAGCCAUGCCGCGUGCAGGAAGACGGCUCUAUGAGUUGUAAACUGCUUUUGUACAAGGGUAAACCUGAAUAUGUGUAUUCAACUGAAAGUACUGUACGAAUAAGGAUCGGCUAACUCCGUUCCAGCAGCCGCGGUAAUACGGAGGAUCCAAGCGUUAUCCGGAUUUAUUGGGGUUAAAGGGUGCGUAGGCGGAUUUAUAAGUGAGAGGUGAAAUGUCCGAGCUUAACUCGGGAACUGCCUUUAAAACUGUUGAUCUAGAGAGUAGGUGAGGUAGGCGGAAUGUAUGGUGUAGCGGUGAAAUGCUUAGAGAUCAUACAGAACACCGAUUGCGAAGGCAGCUUACCAAUCUAUAUCUGACGUUGAGGCACGAAAGCGUGGGGAGCAAACAGGAUUAGAUACCCCUGUAGUC
rnacentral:rRNA from 1 species